CAAAAGGCAAACUCUGGGUAACCGGGGGGCGCAAAACUACGGGUCCAGUAAUGGGCAGCCGAGUUAC
rnacentral:ncRNA from 1 species